UUCCGGUUGAUCCUGCCGGAAGCCACUGCUAUCGGGGUCCGACUAAGCCAUGCGAGUCAAGGGGGUGUCCCUCUGGGACACCACCGGCGGACGGCUCAGUAACACGUCGGUAACCUACCCUCGGGAGGGGGAUAACCCCGGGAAACUGGGGCUAAUCCCCCAUAGGCCUGAGGUACUGGAAGGUCCUCAGGCCGAAAGGGGCUUUUGCCCGCCCGAGGAUGGGCCGGCGGCCGAUUAGGUAGUUGGUGGGGUAACGGCCCACCAAGCCGAAGAUCGGUACGGGCUGUGAGAGCAGGAGCCCGGAGAUGGACACUGAGACACGGGUCCAGGCCCUACGGGGCGCAGCAGGCGCGAAACCUCCGCAAUGCGGGAAACCGCGACGGGGGGACCCCGAGUGCCGUGGCACCGCCACGGCUUUUCCGGAGUGUAAAAAGCUCCGGGAAUAAGGGCUGGGCAAGGCCGGUGGCAGCCGCCGCGGUAAUACCGGCGGCCCGAGUGGUGGCCGCUAUUAUUGGGCCUAAAGCGUCCGUAGCCGGGCCCGUAAGUCCCUGGCGAAAUCCCACGGCUCAACCGUGGGGCUUGCUGGGGAUACUGCGGGCCUUGGGACCGGGAGAGGCGGGGGGGUACCCCUGGGGUAGGGGUGAAAUCCUAUAAUCCCAGGGGGACCGCCAGUGGCGAAGGCGCCCCGCUGGAACGGGUCCGACGGUGAGGGACGAAAGCCAGGGGAGCAAACCGGAUUAGAUACCCGGGUAGUCCUGGCUGUAAAGGAUGCGGGCUAAGUGUCGGGUGAGCUUCGAGCUCGCCCGGUGCCGUAAGGAAGCCGUUAAACCCGCCGCCUGGGGAGUACGGCCGCA
rnacentral:rRNA from 1 species